rnacentral:rRNA from 1 species
AUGAACGCUGGCGGCGUGCCUAAUACAUGCCAGUCGAGCGAACGGACGAGAAGCUUGCUUCUCUGAUGUUAGCGGCGGACGGGUGAGUAGCACGUGGAUAACCUACCUAUAAGACUGGGAUAACUUCGGGAAACCGGAGCUAAUACCGGAUAAUAUUUUGAACCGCAUGGUUCAAAAGUGAAAGACGGUCUUGCUGUCACUUAUAGAUGGAUCCGCGCUGCAUUAGCUAGUUGGUAAGGUAACGGCUUACCAAGGCAACGAUGCAUAGCCGACCUGAGAGGGUGAUCGGCCACACUGGAACUGAGACACGGUCCAGACUCCUACGGGAGGCAGCAGUAGGGAAUCUUCCGCAAUGGGCGAAAGCCUGACGGAGCAACGCCGCGUGAGUGAUGAAGGUCUUCGGAUCGUAAAACUCUGUUAUUAGGGAAGAACAUAUGUGUAAGUAACUGUGCACAUCUUGACGGUACCUAAUCAGAAAGCCACGGCUAACUACGUG